GGGUCCGCACAAGCGGUGGAGCAUGUGGUUUAAUUCGAUGAUACGCGAAGAACCUUACCUGGGCUCUAAUGCGAGUGACCGCUCCUGAAAGGGAGCUUUUCCUUCGGGACACGAAGCAAGGUGCUGCAUGGUUGUCGUCAGCUCGUGCCGUGAGGUGUUGGGUUAAGUCCCCGCAACGAGCGCAACCCCGUAUCUUUAGUUGCCAGCGAUUCGGUCGGGGACUCUAGAGAGACUGCCUGCGCAAGCAGAGAGGAAGGCGGGGACGACGUCAAAUCAUCAUGGCCUUUAUGCCAAGGGCUACACACGUGCUACAAUGGUAAGGACAAAGGGCAGCAGAGCCGGCGACGGU
rnacentral:rRNA from 1 species